rnacentral:rRNA from 1 species
CGCGUAGGCGGAUUUACAAGUUAGGGUGAAAGGCCCGGGCUCAACCUGGGAACUGCCUUUAAAACUGUAAGUCUUGAGUCCGAGAGAGGAUGGCGGAAUACCCAGUGUAGAGGUGAAAUUCGUAGAUAUUGGGUAGAACACCGGUGGCGAAGGCGGCCAUCUGGCUCGGCACUGACGCUGAGGCGCGAAAGCGUGGGGAGCAAACA